GGUCAAGCUACAAAGGCGCAUGGUGAAUGCCUUGGCAUCAGGAGCCGAUGAAGGACGCGAUAAGCUGCGAUAAGCUUCGGGUAGACGCACAUAGUCAGAGAUCCGAAGAUUCCGAAUGAGGAAACUCACAUGGGAAACCCCAUGUAUCAUAAAGUGAAUACAUAGUUUUAUGAAGGUAUACCCAGGGAACUGAAACAUCUAAGUACCUGGAGGAAGAGAAAGAAAAAUCGAUUUUCUUAGUAGCGGCGAGCGAAAAGGAAAGAGCCCAAACCAGAGAUUUAUCUCUGGGGUUGCGGACAGAACAUAACGAGAAAUCAUAGUUAAUUGAACACAACUGGAAAGUUGGACCACAGUGGGUAAUAGUCCCGUAAGUGAAAACUAUGAUAAUCAGUUCUGCACCAGAGUACCACGAGACACGUGAAACCUUGUGGGAAGCAGGGAGGACCACCUCCCAAGGCUAAAUACUACCUGAUGACCGAUAGUGAAGCAGUACCGUGAGGGAAAGGUGAAAAGAACCCCGGGAGGGGAGUGAAAUAGAACCUGAAACCAUGUGCCUACAACCGAUCAGAGCACCUUAUGUGUGUGAUGAUGUGCUUUUUGUAGAACGAGCCAACGAGUUACGGUAUGUAGCGAGGUUAAGUACUUAAGGUACGGAGCCGAAGGGAAACCGAGUCUUAAUAGGGCGACUAGUUGCAUGCUGUAGACCCGAAACCGGGUGACCUAUCCAUGGCCAGGUUGAAGCGAGGGUAAAACCUCGUGGAGGACCGAACCACGUUGCUGUUGAAAAAGCAUGGGAUGAGCUGUGGAUAGCGGAGAAAUUCCAAUCGAACUCGGAUAUAGCUGGUUCUCCUCGAAAUAGCUUUAGGGCUAGCGUCGGAAAAUGUGAGUAGUGGAGGUAGAGCACUGAAUAGGCUAGGGGGCAUAGCGCUUACCGAACCUUAUCAAACUCCGAAUGCCACAUACUAUCAGUCCGGCAGUCAGACUAUGAAAGAUAAGUUCCAUGGUCAAAAGGGAAACAGCCCAGAUCGUCAGCUAAGGUCCCAAAGUGUAAGUUAAGUGGAAAAGGAUGUGGGAUUUCUAAGACAACUAGGAUGUUGGCUUAGAAGCAGCCACUCAUUAAAAGAGUGCGUAAUAGCUCACUAGUCAAGAGAUCCUGCGCCGAAAAUGUCCGGGGCUCAAACUUACCACCGAAGCUACGGGUUCACGCAUUAGCGUGAGCGGUAGAGGAGCGUCGUAAUCGGGCUGAAGUCGUACCGUAAGGAGCGGUGGACUGAUUACGAGUGAGAAUGUUGGCAUUAGUAGCGAGAUGUAGGCGAGAAUCCUACAGGCCGAAUAUCUAAGGUUUCCUGAGUAAAGUUUGUCUUCUCAGGGUUAGUCGGGACCUAAGGCGAGGCCGAAAGGCGUAGUCGAUGGACAAUUGGUUGAUAUUCCAAUACCACUAUAAUCGUUAUUAUCGAUGGUGUGACGGAGAAGGAUAGGAUGUGCUAGCUAUUGGAUGCUAGUCUAAGCGUUUAGGGAGUUGGGAUUGGCAAAUCCGUUCCAACAAUUCUGAGGCGUGAUGGGGAAGGUUCUACGGAACCGAAGUAUCUGAUUCCAUGCUUCCAAGAAAAGCAUCUAGAAAGAGAAGUAGUGCCCGUACCGCAAACCGACACAGGUAGAUGAGGAGAGAAUCCUAAGGCCGACGGAAGAAUUGCAGUUAAGGAACUAGGCAAAUUGACCCCGUAACUUCGGGAGAAGGGGUGCCUGAGAAAUCAGGCCGCAGAGAAUAGGCACAAGCAACUGUUUAACAAAAACACAGGUCUCUGCUAAAGCGAAAGCUGAUGUAUAGGGGCUGACGCCUGCCCGGUGCUGGAAGGUUAAGGGGAACACUUAGCAAAGUUUUGCGAAGGUGUGAACUUAAGCCCCAGUAAACGGCGGCCGUAACUAUAACGGUCCUAAGGUAGCGAAAUUCCUUGUCAGGUAAGUUCUGACCCGCACGAAUGGCGUAAUGACUUGUGCACUGUCUCAACUGCAAAUCCGGCGAAGUUGUAGUGCGAGUGAAGAUGCUCGCUACCCGCGAUUGGACGGAAAGACCCCGUAGAGCUUUACUGUAGCUUAGCAUUGAAUUUCGGUAUUGUCUGUACAGGAUAGGUGGGAGACUGGGAAACUAGGGCGUCAGCCUUGGUGGAGUCGUUGUUGGGAUACCACCCUGAUAGUAUUGAAGUUCUAACUGGAUGCCAUGAAACUGGUGACAGGACAUUGUUAGGUGGGCAGUUUGACUGGGGCGGUCGCCUCCUAAAAUGUAACGGAGGCGCCCAAAGGUUCCCUCAGAACGGUCGGAAAUCGUUCGAAGAGUGUAAAGGCAGAAGGGAGCCUGACUGCGACACCUACAAGUGGAGCAGGGACGAAAGUCGGGCUUAGUGAUCCGGUGGUACCUCGUGGGAGGGCCAUCGCUCAACGGAUAAAAGCUACCUCGGGGAUAACAGGCUGAUCUCCCCCAAGAGUUCACAUCGACGGGGAGGUUUGGCACCUCGAUGUCGGCUCGUCGCAUCCUGGGGCUGAAGUAGGUCCCAAGGGUUGGGCUGUUCGCCCAUUAAAGCGGCACGCGAGCUGGGUUCAGAACGUCGUGAGACAGUUCGGUCCCUAUCCGUCGCGGGCGUAGGAAAUUUGAGAGGAGCUGUCCUUAGUACGAGAGGACCGGGAUGGACUGACCUAUGGUGUACCAGUUGUUUCGCCAGAAGCAUAGCUGGGUAGCUAAGUCGGGAAGGGAUAAACGCUGAAAGCAUCUAAGUGUGAAGCCCACCUCAAGAUGAGAUUUCCCAUAGCAUAAGCUAGUAAGACCCCUUGAAGACUACAAGGUUGAUAGGUCAGAGGUGUAAGUAUGGUAACAUAUUUAGCUGACUGAUACUAAUAGGUCGAGGGCUUGACCAA
rnacentral:rRNA from 1 species